rnacentral:lncRNA from 1 species
GGGGUGGAAUGAUACGCAUAUGAAAUGAUGCGUGAACUGUCCGCUGAAUCACUUUUCUUUGUUGUAAGAGGAACAGGUUCAUGAUACAAAAGCAAAACAUCAGAAAAUGUUUUUAAUCGAUGUUGAGAGGGAAAUAACACUAACAAGGCUGGGGCAUGGGCAGUGGGAGCAAGAGAGGCCUUAUAUGGCUGAUGCUGCGGGAGCUGGAUCCCUAAACAGAGGAGUGGAGAGGAGAGUCUCUCCUUUCCUGUGGUCACAUUCUUCCUCCCAUCAGGAUUCCUUGUCUUUGUUCCCUGCCUAGCACCCUUAGCAUCUGGAACAGAGCAGGUGAUGAAUAUCUCUCUGGAUCCCAUUCCUGGCUCUCCAGAGCUAUUCUACUCUGCCAAAGAGACCUCCUCCCUCUGGAAGCUCCCUCCACUCCUGGACUUCUCAGACUGGGCACAUUCCACAACGGUAGCCACUUCCUCAGAUGGAUGCUUCACCUCAGCUCCCAGAUUUGGCCCAGUUCUUCCCUCUGGAGCUAUGCAGAACAAGAGGACUAAUAUCUCUUCCUUGAGACAAUCUUUUGAAUAUUUGAUGGCUCCAUCCUGGCUUCCUAACUCAUCACUUCUCCAGGCUAAACAUUCCCAUUUUUGAAAAAUAAAAAUCUUUUGACAUGCA